GGGGAUAUAGCUAAGUUGGUAGAGUGCUUGCCUUGCAUGUAUGAGGCCCUGGGUUGGAUCCCUAGCCCCA
rnacentral:tRNA from 1 species